rnacentral:rRNA from 1 species
UACGGAGGUGGCAAGCGUUGCUCGGAAUCACUGGGCGUAAAGGGUGCGUAGGCGGGUCUUUAAGUCAGGGGUGAAAUCCUGGAGCUCAACUCCAGAACUGCCUUUGAUACUGAAGAUCUUGAGUUCGGGAGAGGUGAGUGGAACUGUGAGUGUAGAGGUGAAAUUCGUAGAUAUUCGCAAGAACACCAGUGGCGAAGGCGGCUCACUGGCCCGAUACUGACGCUGAGGCGCGAAAGCGUGGGAGCAAACAGGG